rnacentral:lncRNA from 1 species
AAGGAGGGGAAAUAAUUCACACCAUGCAGCAGGACACCUUCAGCUGCGGGGUUUUUGUAAUGCAGAUGGCCAAGGAAGUUGCACAGAACUUCCCCAACAUCCCCUCCCAAAUUGAUAUGGAACUUUCAAAAACACAUGGAGCAACUGCGAAAAGAAAUGGCUGAGGAUAUGCUAAAAAUGUCUGAGUUCAACAAAGCCAACUGCUUCAUGUGUGCCACUGAUAAAGAACCUGGAUGUGGCCCAAAGACUGACUGGGGCUAGGAACCCUCCAUGUUCAGGACCCUACCCAGGGCUGGCAUCUCUCAGCCUGUGGAUCUUCUCUUCUAUCCUGGCUGUAUGCUGGCUCUUCUCCUGCACCUCCUUCUCCACCUCCCUCCGAUUCCUGACCUCGUCUGACAGAUGAAUUACCUUUAAUACAAAGAAACACAGAAAA